rnacentral:misc_RNA from 1 species
CAGAGUUGCAAAACUCCCUAAAACCAUUCGCUGAAUCUUACCCGUAACCGGUUGCCUUCGGCGGGCGGUCCGGAAGGCCCUUCGGGCCCCGGAUCCUCGGGUCUCCCGCUCGCGGGAGGCUGCCCGCCGGAGUGCUAAACCAAACUAUUGAUAUUUAUGUCUCUCUGAGUAACUUUUACUAAUAAGUCA